AUUAUUUUUUAUUUAUUUAUUUUUGCCUUUUAAUUUUAAAAAUAUAAUAUAAUUUGACAAUAUUUUGUUUUCUUUUCUAAAACAUAUAGAAUAUGAAAUAAUACAAUCCUAUUGAUUGGUGAACCCAAGAAAAAGUCUUAUUUAUGCAUGUGAACGUAGAUAAGAAAUCGGAAUCGGACAUAAAGCCAAACAAAGAGAGAUCAUAUAUGAGUUUUAAAGACAUAGCCACGACAAUGUCACUUGUCCAUUAUUAUAUCUUAAUCUUCUCACUUCACUUUGUUCCCUCUCUUAUCCUUUCGCUAACUGUACAUGACAUUGCCUUUUCUUAAAAUAUCAUUCUUUUGCAUUGUGAUUCUGUAUUAAACGUACUAAAAAAGAUUUUAUGGUUUAUUACCUAAAAAGCCAAUAAAUCUAAUUCUAGAAAAAAAACCAGAAAGGCGAGAAAAAAAGAGAGAAAAGGUCGUGGGUUUCAUCCUCUCCGGCGGCCUCCACGGCGCUGUGAGAGGAGUGUAUAGCUCUAGGGUUUCCUUGUUUGCUGUGUGCAGUUUCUUCCGGACAAGUGUUUUACCAUCGUGAUUUAAGGUGAGGAGGGGUGAAAAGAUUUGUUUUGAGCGCCGGUGAUAUCUCUUGUGGUCUUCAGAGUCGAUUUGGAGUCUUGGUUCAGAUCUAGUACGGCGAGGUUGUGAUUUGGAGCUCUGGUCCCCUUCGAUUCAGAUCUGGGUUUGUUACCUAGGGUUUGGUCGUUUUGGUACUGUAGUAGUUUUUGGCUGCUGAUUUGAUCUUUUGACUUUCUUUUUGUUGUCUUCAUCUCUUGUUCCUAUUUCGUUGGAGGUCUAUAGUGAUGGCUUGUCCUUUUUUUCUUGUUGGCUUGGUAGUUCGUUUGAGCCUUGUUGGUUUAGGAUUUGGGUGGGUUGUCUCUGUUAUGGGCAUGGGUUCGAUGGCAAGACGGAGCUUGGACUUCAGGUGCAGUCUCCUUUUCCUAUUGUGGUAGUAGCAGUGUUCUCUUGCCGGUCCAGGUGUAAAGGAGCCUAAAAAAAUGUGUUCCAGCCGUAUUGAGAGUUAUGUGGAGCGUGAAGCGCUCAGGCUUUUCGGGUUGUGAAGUCCUGGUUUUAGGUUUCUAGUUGGGGAUGGUAUCGUUUGGCCGGCUGUAAGCGGCAGCGAUAGAUCCGAGAUGAGAAGACUUGGUGUCUUCGGUUCUAGAAGUGGAAGGUAUCGUACGGCGGGCUAAGGGCAGCUACAAUAUAUCCAGAUCAUUGAUAUCUAUUACGUGGGAACAUUGGUUAUGCUGAAUCGUCUUUUACCUUUGUGUAGCUCGUUUUUGUUGGUUAUGUUUUAGUUGCGGUUCCUAGCUUAGGUUUCGUUCCGUGUUUAUGUUGUAUUUGAAAGUUGUUCCAGUGUGGUUCUAACUGUCUUUCUUUGGGUUUUUGUUUCUGAGGAUUUUAUGAUAUCCGCCAGCAUCGCUAGCAAAACUUGUGUUCUAACGUUUAA